GGCGGCAGGCUUAACACAUGCAAGUCGAGCGGUAGCAGAUCUAGCUUGCUAGAUGCUGACGAGCGGCGGACGGGUGAGUAACGCGUAGGAACCUGCCCAGUAGUGGGGGAUAGCCCGGGGAAACUCGGAUUAAUACCGCAUACGCUCUACGGAGGAAAGAGGGGCUUCGGGCUCUCGCUAUUGGAUGGGCCUGCGUGAGAUUAGCUAGUUGGUGAGGUAAUGGCUCACCAAGGCGACGAUCUCUAGCUGGUCUGAGAGGAUGAUCAGCCACACUGGGACUGAGACACGGCCCAGACUCCUACGGGAGGCAGCAGUGGGGAAUAUUGCACAAUGGGCGCAGGCCUGAUGCAGCCAUGCCGCGUGUGUGAAAAGGCUUUCGGGUUGUAAAGCACUCUCAGUGGGGAGGAAGGCCUCGUAGUUAAUAGCUGCGAGGAUUGACGUUACCCACAGAAGAAGCACCGGCUAACUCCGUG
rnacentral:rRNA from 1 species